rnacentral:rRNA from 1 species
GACGAACGCUGGCGGCGUGCUUAACACAUGCAAGUCGAACGGUAAGGCUCCAGCUUGCUGGGGUACACGAGUGGCGAACGGGUGAGUAACACGUGGGUGACCUGCCCUGCACUUCGGGAUAAGCCUGGGAAACUGGGUCUAAUACCGGAUAGGACUGCACCGUGAGGGUGUGGUGGAAAGUUUUUUCGGUGUGGGAUGGGCCCGCGGCCUAUCAGCUUGUUGGUGGGGUAAUGGCCUACCAAGGCGGCGACGGGUAGCCGGCCUGAGAGGGUGGACGGCCACAUUGGGACUGAGACACGGCCCAGACUCCUACGGGAGGCAGCAGUGGGGAAUAUUGCACAAUGGGCGGAAGCCUGAUGCAGCGACGCCGCGUGGGGGAUGACGGCCUUCGGGUUGUAAACUCCUUUCACCAUCGACGAAGGGUUUCUGACGGUAGAUGGAGAAGAAGCACCGGCUAACUACGUGCCAGCAGCCGCGGUAAUACGUAGGGUGCGAGCGUUGUCCGGAAUUACUGGGCGUAAAGAGCUCGUAGGUGGUUUGUCGCGUCGUCUGUGAAAUUCCGGGGCUUAACUCCGGGCGUGCAGGCGAUACGGGCAUAACUUGAGUACUGUAGGGGAGACUGGAAUUCCUGGUGUAGCGGUGAAAUGCGCAGAUAUCAGGAGGAACACCGGUGGCGAAGGCGGGUCUCUGGGCAGUAACUGACGCUGAGGAGCGAAAGCAUGGGGAGCGAACGGGAUUAGAUACCCUGGUAGUCCAUGCCGUAAACGGUGGGCGCUAGGUGUGGGUUUCCUUCCACGGGAUCCGUGCCGUAGCUAACGCAUUAAGCGCCCCGCCUGGGGAGUACGGCCGCAAGGCUAAAACUCAAAGGAAUUGACGGGGGCCCGCACAAGCGGCGGAGCAUGUGGAUUAAUUCGAUGCAACGCGAAGAACCUUACCUGGGCUUGACAUAUACAGGAUCGCGCCAGAGAUGGUGUUUCCCUUGUGGCUUGUAUACAGGUGGUGCAUGGUUGUCGUCAGCUCGUGUCGUGAGAUGUUGGGUUAAGUCCCGCAACGAGCGCAACCCUUGUCUUAUGUUGCCAGCACGUUGUGGUGGGGACUCGUAAGAAACUGCCGGGGUUAACUCGGAGGAAGGUGGGGAUGACGUCAAAUCAUCAUGCCCCUUAUGUCCAGGGCUUCACACAUGCUACAAUGGUCGGUACAGUGGGUUGCCAGUCCGUGAGGGCGAGCUAAUCCCGCAAAGCCGGUCUCAGUUCGGAUCGGGGUCUGCAACUCGACCCCGUGAAGUCGGAGUCGCUAGUAAUCGCAGAUCAGCAACGCUGCGGUGAAUACGUUCCCGGGCCU